GACGUAGGUGGCGAACGUUUAUCCGGAAUUAUUGGGCGUAAAGGAUGCGUAGAUGGUGUAGUAAGUUAUCGGUGGCAAAUCGAGGCUCAACCUCGUGGAAGUCGGUAAUACUGCUAUGCUAGAGGAUAGGAGAGGUUAACGGAACUCCCUGUGGAGCGGUGAAAUGCGUAGAUAUAGGGAAGAACACCAAUCAGGCGAAGGCAGUUAACUAUUCUAUUCCUGACAUUGAGGCAUGAAAGCGUGGGGAGCAAAACGG
rnacentral:rRNA from 1 species